UACAGAGGUCCCAAGCGUUGUUCGGAUUCACUGGGCGUAAAGGGUGCGUAGGCGGUCGGGUAAGUCUGAUGUGAAAUCUCACAGCUUAACUGUGAAACUGCAUUGGAUACUAUCCGGCUCGAGGAAUGGAGGGGAGACUGGAAUACUUGGUGUAGCAGUGAAAUGCGUAGAUAUCAAGUGGAACACCAGUGGCGAAGGCGAGUCUCUGGACAUUUCCUGACGCUGAGGCACGAAAGCCAGGGGAGCAAACGGAA
rnacentral:rRNA from 1 species